GAUGAACGCUGGCGGCGUGCCUAAUACAUGCAAGUCGAGCGAACAGACGAGGAGCUUGCUCCUUUGACGUUAGCGGCGGACGGGUGAGUAACACGUAGGUAACCUACCUAUAAGACUGGGAUAACUUCGGGAAACCGGAGCUAAUACCGGAUAAUAUUUCGAACCGCAUGGUUCGAUAGUGAAAGAUGGCUUUGCUAUCACUUAUAGAUGGACCUGCGCCGUAUUAGCUAGUUGGUAAGGUAACGGCUUACCAAGGCAACGAUACGUAGCCGACCUGAGAGGGUGAUCGGCCACACUGGAACUGAGACACGGUCCAGACUCCUACGGGAGGCAGCAGUAGGGAAUCUUCCGCAAUGGGCGAAAGCCUGACGGAGCAACGCCGCGUGAGUGAUGAAGGUCUUCGGAUCGUAAAACUCCGUUAUUAGGGAAGAACAAACGUGUAAGUAACUGUGCACGUCUUGACGGUACCUAAUCAGAAAGCCACGGCUAACUACGUG
rnacentral:rRNA from 1 species